AGGCACACCUGAUUACACUCCCCUCCCCCUACUGCUCUUUAAAAGCAAGCGCUUCUUCUAGUGUGUGCCUAACACAACGCUUGCACGGACACACACGCAUCCACACACACAUGCUGGCACAGCUGACAAACACAAACACACACAGUCGACUAACAAAAGCACGCUAAACACACUGCUGACAUACAGACACACGCGCACAGCUCUUAAAUGGCAACACACUCACACGCUCGCACACAGGCUCAGGGGACCACCAUGGGGAGCAACGCGACCCACGUGUCCAGGAGGAUGGCCAGGGACGAUGACGAGGGUACCAACAAGAGGGCCAUCCAGUUCAACAACCAGGACUUCCAGAUGCUGCGGGACCAGUGCCUACAGAGCAGGAUCCUCUUCCGCGACGACGCGUUCCCUGCUCAGCCCGAGUCGCUGGGGUACAAGCAUCUGGGCCGGGACUCCCCUAAAACCCGGGGCGUGGUGUGGAAGAGACCCAGGGACAUUUGUUCAAACCCACAGUUCAUUGUCGACGGAGCGCAAAGAACAGACAUCUGCCAAGGAGACUUGGGAGACUGCUGGCUACUGGCUGCCAUUGCCUCCCUGACCCUGGAUCAAGACAUCCUGGCCCGUGUGGUCCCUCCUGGGCAGAGCUUUCAGGAGAACUAUGCUGGGAUCUUUCACUUCCAGUUCUGGCAGUUUGGCAAGUGGGUGGACGUGGUGAUCGACGACAAGCUGCCCACCAGAGACGGAAAGCUGCUGUUUGUUCAGUCGGCCGAGCGCUUGGAGUUCUGGAGCGCCCUGCUGGAGAAGGCCUAUGCUAAGGUGAAUGGCUCCUAUGAGGCGUUGUCGGGGGGGUCCUCCACAGAGGGCUUUGAAGACCUCACCGGGGGCAUUUCAGAGGUUUACAUGCUGGACACAGCACCCCCGUUCCUCUUCAAAAUCAUCCAGAAAGCCCUUCACCGGGGGUCCCUGCUGGGCUGUUCCAUCACUAAAACCAGUGCGGACGAGACAGAGGCCAGAACUCGGCAGAAGCUGGUGAAGGGCCACGCCUACUCUCUCAUUGCAGCUGAAGAGGUGCACUUGCGUGGGACCCCAGUGCAGCUGGUGAGGAUCAGGAACCCCUGGGGUCAUGUAGAGUGGAAUGGACCCUGGAGUGAUAACUCCAGAGAAUGGGACGGCGUUCGCCAAGAUGAGAAAGCCACGCUGAACUAUUCACCUGACGAUGGAGAGUUCUGGAUGGCAUACUCAGACUUCCUCAGGCAGUACUCUAAACUGGAGAUCUGUAAUCUCACGCCAGACACACUCACCAGUACCCAGGUCGGCCGCUGGAAUCACUGCCAGUUCGAGGGGACCUGGAGGGUGGGCUCCACCGCGGGGGGCUGCAGGGACAACCCGGCCACCUUCUGCUCGAACUCGCAGUUCUGGAUUCGGCUGAACACCGUGGACAAGGACCCCCACGACGGGAAGGACGGCUGCAGCUUCCUGGUGGGGCUCAUGCAGAAGGACUGUCGCAGAAAGUGCCGGGACUUCAACAGCAUCGGCUUCGCCAUAUACGAGAUUCCUGAUGAGUAUAAGGGCCGCUCUAAUGUGCUCCUUGGGCCGGACGUGUUGCUGCGGCAACGCGCCGUUGCCAGAUCCACCUUCGUUGACGAUCGCGAGGUGUGCGGCCGCUUCAAGGUCCCGCUGGGCGAGUACGCCAUCGUCCCCUCCACCUUCGAGCCGGACCAGAAGGGCAGCUUCAUCCUGCGGGUCUUUUUUUGAGAAGCAGGCUGCAGCCAGCCCCAUGGAAAAGGGCAUUAAUGCAGAUGUUGGCAAGCCUGGAAUCAAAGACGGUGAUGUGGACCCCCAUUUCAUCCCCCUGGGGUGGGCUCCCUUGCCCCCGCACAUGCAGUUCAUGCAGUUUGCCGUAAAUGUGGGUUUUAAUGUGUCUAACUAUUUUAAUUCAAAAGAUUAAGUUCUGUACUUUUACAAUAAAUAUAUGAACAUAUACUGCAUGUAUAGAAGUCAAUGGCAAGAUGCACCACAGUUAUAACUGAGGUUUAUUUACAAAAAAUUGUAAAUGUAUGUCUCUUGUGGCAACGACAGUUGUUUAUAUUGACCAGUAAAUAAUUCAUAAAAUGUUAUCCUCUGGUUAUUAUUAUGUCUCUCUUUGUUUCACUGUUAACAUCUGUUUAAAUUGUGACUUAGGCCCUGUUCAGACCUGGCAUUAAAAUGCGUCUUGGGUGAUCCGAUCACAAGUGGACACUCUAACUACAGGUGUGAAUGCACCCAAGACGCAUUGAGGACAAAUUGAGAUCCAAUCACUCAGACAACAUUUGGAGGUGGUCUUAAACUGUGUUGUAUUCAAAAGAGGCUGUCAUCUUAUUAACAUGGCAACUUAAUGAAUUGGAAAUAUCAUGCGUUUCUGUUGGCAUAAUUUUACUUUGAUUUGUUCUCAACUUCAGAAAUGUCAGAAUGUAAAACUAUGAAAAUGGAUGAAACUGCAAGAGAGAAAGGGGG